rnacentral:rRNA from 1 species
AACGUAGGUCACAAGCGUUGUCCGGAAUUACUGGGUGUAAAGGGAGCGCAGGCGGGAAGACAAGUUGGAAGUGAAAUCCGUGGGCUCAACCCAUGAACUGCUUUCAAAACUGUUUUUCUUGAGUAGUGCAGAGGUAGGCGGAAUUCCCGGUGUAGCGGUGGAAUGCGUAGAUAUCGGGAGGAACACCAGUGGCGAAGGCGGCCUACUGGGCACCAACUGACGCUGAGGCUCGAAAGUGUGGGUAGCAAACAGG